rnacentral:rRNA from 1 species
GAUGAACGCUGGCGGCGUGCCUAAUACAUGCAAGUCGAGCGAACAGACGAGGAGCUUGCUCCUCUGUCGUUUGCGGCACACGUGAGUAUAACACGUGUAUAACGUCCCUAUAAUACUGGGAUCACUUCGGAACACCGGCGCUUAUACCGUAUAAUCUAUUGAACCGCAUGGUGCAUUGGUAAAAUACGGUUUUGCUGUCACUUCUAGCUGGAUAUCCGCCGCAUUAGCUAGUUGGUAAGGUAACAGCCUACCAAGGCGACGAUGCGUAACCGAACUGAUAGAGUGGUCGGCCACACUGGAACGUAGACACGGUCCAGACUCCUACGGGAGGCAGCAGUAGGGAAUCUUACGCAACGGGCGAAAGCCUGACGGAGCAAGCGGGCGUGAGUGAUGAAGGUCUUCCGAUCGUAAAACUCUGUUAUUAGGGAAGAACAAAUGUGUAAGUAACUAUGGACGUCUUGACGGUAACGAAUCAGAAAGCAACGGCUAACUACGUG